GAUGAAGAACGUAGCGAAAUGCGAUAGGUAAUGUGAAUUGCAGAAUUCAGUGAAUCAUCGAAUCUUUGAACGCACAUUGCGCCCGCCAGUAUUCUGGCGGGCAUGCCUGUUCGAGCGUCAUUUCAACCAUCAAGCCCCAGGCUUGUGUUGGAGCCCUGCGGCUGCCGCAGCCUCCCAAAACCAGUGGCGGGCUCGCUAUCACACCGAGUGCAGUAGUUUACUCUUCGCUCAGGGCGUGUGGCGGGUGCUAGCCGUAAAACCCCCAACUUCUCAAGGUUGACCUCGGAUCAGGUAGGAAUACCCGCUGAACUUAAGCAUAUCAAUAAGCGGAGGA
rnacentral:misc_RNA from 1 species